AGGCGCGUAGCUCAGGGGCUAGAGCGCUACCCCGACACGGUAGAGGUCGUUGGUUCAAUUCCAAUCGCGCCUA
rnacentral:tRNA from 1 species